CAUUACACAAAUAUGAAGCCGGACUGGGAUAGGGCCUCGCUGCCUUGCCCGUCUGGCGCCAUAUUCACCCAUGUCUUUUUGCGUACUACUUGUUUCCUUGGCGGGUCCGCCCGCCAAUUGGACCUUAUUCAAACCUUUUUUUCAGUUGCAAUCAGCGUCAGCAAAACAAAUGUAAUCAAUUACAACUUUCAACAACGGAUCUCUUGGUUCUGGCAUCGAUGAAGAACGCAGCGAAAUGCGAUAAGUAGUGUGAAUUGCAGAAUUCAGUGAAUCAUCGAAUCUUUGAACGCACAUUGCGCCCUUUGGUAUUCCAAAGGGCAUGCCUGUUCGAGCGUCAUUUGUACCCUCAAGCUUUGCUUGGUGUUGGGCGUCUUGUCUCUCUCCCGAGACUCGCCUUAAAAUCAUUGGCAGCCGGCCUACUGGUUUCGGAGCGCAGCACAUUAUUUGCGCUCUUGUCCAGCCGCGGUCGCGCGUCCAUGAAGCUUCUUUCAACCUUUUGACCUCGGAUCAGGUAAGGAUAC
rnacentral:rRNA from 1 species